GGUGGCAGUGCGCGUACGUCCUCUGGCGCCCAACGAGAGAGCGCGCGGAAGAGUAGCAGACGCGCUCGACAAUAAGAUGAUUACACUGCAGGAAAAUGACGGGGACAAGAAAGACGUGCUUCGUCAGAAGCGUCGCCACGAAAAACAAUUUGUCUACGACAUGGCGUUUGGAGAGCAUUCGACCCAGAAAGAGCUGUACGAGCGCACCACCCGGGGGCUGGUAGAUGACGUACUGCAGGGCUUCAACGCCACAGUGUUCGCCUAUGGCCCCAC